CACGUAGGGGGCGAGCGUUGUCCGGAAUCAUUGGGCGUAAAGAGCUCGUAGGCGGCUCAGUAAGUCGGGUGUGAAACCCUCAGGCUCAACCUGGGGACGCCACCCGAUACUGCUGUGGCUAGAGUCCAGUAGGGGAGUGUGGAAUUCCCGGUGUAGCGGUGAAAUGCGCAGAUAUCGGGAGGAACACCAGCGGCGAAGGCGGCACUCUGGGCUGGUACUGACGCUGAGGAGCGAAAGCGUGGGUAGCAAACAGGA
rnacentral:rRNA from 1 species